GCAAGUCGAACGAUGAACCGCUUUCGGGCGGGGAUUAGUGGCGAACGGGUGAGUAACACGUGGGCAAUCUGCCCUGCACUCUGGGACAAGCCCUGGAAACGGGGUCUAAUACCGGAUAUGACUGUCCAUCGCAUGGUGGAUGGUGUAAAGCUCCGGCGGUGCAGGAUGAGCCCGCGGCCUAUCAGCUUGUUGGUGAGGUAGUGGCUCACCAAGGCGACGACGGGUAGCCGGCCUGAGAGGGCGACCGGCCACACUGGGACUGAGACACGGCCCAGACUCCUACGGGAGGCAGCAGUGGGGAAUAUUGCACAAUGGGCGAAAGCCUGAUGCAGCGACGCCGCGUGAGGGAUGACGGCCUUCGGGUUGUAAACCUCUUUCAGCAGGGAAGAAGCGAAAGUGACGGUACCUGCAGAAGAAGCGCCGGCUAACUACGUGCCAGCAGCCGCGGUAAUACGUAGGGCGCAAGCGUUGUCCGGAAUUAUUGGGCGUAAAGAGCUCGUAGGCGGCUUGUCACGUCGGUUGUGAAAGCCCGGGGCUUAACCCCGGGUCUGCAGUCGAUACGGGCAGGCUAGAGUUCGGUAGGGGAGAUCGGAAUUCCUGGUGUAGCGGUGAAAUGCGCAGAUAUCAGGAGGAACACCGGUGGCGAAGGCGGAUCUCUGGGCCGAUACUGACGCUGAGGAGCGAAAGCGUGGGGAGCGAACAGGAUUAGAUACCCUGGUAGUCCACGCCGUAAACGGUGGGCACUAGGUGUGGGGCAACAUUCCACGUUGUCCGUGCCGCAGCUAACGCAUUAAGUGCCCCGCC
rnacentral:rRNA from 1 species